UUUUUGAGAGUUUGAUCCUGGCUCAGAACGAACGCUGGCGGCGCGCCUAACACAUGCAAGUCGAACGAGAGACUCUUCGGAGUAGUAAAGUGGCGAACGGGUGAGUAAUACAUGGGUAAUCUGCCUUUGAGCGGGGGAUAACCAGCCGAAAGGCUGGCUAAUACCCCAUACGCUUCCGGUCCCUCGGGUAAGGAAGGAAAGCUGCAUCGUGGAUGUGGCACUCGAAGAUGGGCUCAUGGCCUAUCAGCUUGUUGGUGGGGUAACGGCCUACCAAGGCAACGACGGGUAGCUGGUCUGAGAGGACGAUCAGCCACACUGGCACUGAGAUACGGGCCAGACUCCUACGGGAGGCAGCAGUGAGGAAUAUUGCGCAAUGGGCGAAAGCCUGACGCAGCGACGCCGCGUGGGGGAAGAAGGUUUUCGGAUUGUAAACCCCUUUUAGGAGGAAAGAUGGGGUGGGUUUCCACCCGGACGGUACCUCCAGAAAAAGCCACGGCUAACUUCGUGCCAGCAGCCGCGGUAAUACGAAGGUGGCGAGCGUUGUUCGGAUUUACUGGGCGUAAAGAGCACGUAGGCGGUUUAGUAAGCCCCUUGGGAAAGCUAUGGGCUUAACCCAUAAAGGUCGAGGGGGACUGCUAAGCUAGAGGGCGGGAGAGGAGCGCGGAAUUUCCGGUGUAGCGGUGAAAUGCGUAGAUAUCGGGAAGAAGGCCGGUGGCGAAGGCGGCGCUCUGGAACGUCUCUGACGCUGAGGUGCGAAAGCGUGGGGAGCAAACAGGAUUAGAUACCCUGGUAGU
rnacentral:rRNA from 2 species